rfam:Myotis lucifugus cont2.22382, whole genome shotgun sequence.
CUGUCUCUUGCUUCAACAGUGUUUGGAAGGAACAG